AUGGGUUCCAUCACAAGUUCUUGGGUGAUGAACUUGUGUGGCAGAUCAAUAUGCACCAACCAACAUGUGGCAUCAUGUGCUUUAAAGGAAAUAUUCGACUCCUCUACCUGUAUUAAUCACCUAGUGGCGACCGGUGUCGUUGCGCUGCUCGUAUUCGUGCUCAUGCUCCAGUUGCUAGUCAAAAUUCCAAAUAGCAGAGUGUCCGCGCGACAGCUCAUCUCGCUCAGCUCACCGCUGCACUUCUCGGCUGUGGUGUUCAAUGGCUGCCUGGGUUUGGUUUAUCUCGGGCUAGGUCUGUGGAUGCUGGGGACUGGAUUCAAUAAGGUUGCUUCCGUUGUUUACCUUCCACAUUGGUGGCUUGUAACAUUAUCUCAAGGACUGAAUCUAGUCCUUGCCAGCUUCGCUUUCAGCAUCAGGCCUCUGUUUCUUGGAGCAGCGUUUGUUAGAUUUUGGCCGGUCCUGCUGACCAUCUGUGCAGCAUUCAUCUGUUGUUCUUCGGUUGUUAAUAUUGUUGCAGAGAAGACGGUCACCAUUAAGGCAUGUUUAGAUGUUCUGUCCCUACCAGGUGCAGUUCUCCUCCUUUAUGGCAUGCGGCACAGCCAUGAUGAAGAGGGUUAUGGAGGAAGUGGAAGUGGUUUGUACAAGCCCCUGAACACGGAGACAGACAGUGAGGUAGCUGAUUCUGACAGUCAGGUAACUCCCUUUGCUAAAGCUGAUUUUUUUAGCAAGAUGACAUUUUGGUGGUUGAAUCCUCUGAUGAAGAUGGGCUAUGAGAAGCCCCUUGAGGACAAAGACAUGCCACUUUUAGGCACAACAGAUCGAGCGCGCAACCUGUACACGAUGUUCAUGGAGAAGCUGAAUGGCAAGAAGCAGUCGCCGUCGCACCCCACGCCAUCAUUCUUCUGGACUAUUGUUUCUUGCCACAAGCAUGCCAUCUUGGUCUCGGGUUUCUUUGCUUUGCUCAAGGUUCUGUCCUUGUCCACAGGCCCAAUACUUCUCAGGGAUUUCGUCAAUGUAUCACUUGGGAAAGGGACCUUUAAACAUGAAGGAUAUGUACUUGCUGUGGUAAUAUUCGUCUGCAAAUGCUGUGAAUCCUUCUCACAGAGACAGUGGUAUUUCCGCACUCGGAGAUUAGGACUGCAAGUGAGGUCACUCCUAUCAGCAGCAAUUUACAAGAAACAACAGAGGCUAUCAAAUGCAGCAAAAAUGAAGCACUCUACUGGAGAAAUUAUGAACUACAUGACCGUUGAUGCCUAUCGGAUUGGGGAAUUCCCAUACUGGUUCCACCAAACAUGGACAACAAUUGUUCAGCUUUGCAUUGCCCUGGCUAUUCUGUACAAUGCGGUCGGUGCUGCAAUGUUUUCGUCAUUGGUUGUCAUCAUUAUCACUGUACUCUGCAACGCUCCAUUGGCCAAACUGCAACACAGAUUUCAGAGUAAACUUAUGGAAGCACAAGAUGAGAGAUUGAAGACCAUGUCUGAGUCACUAGUUCACAUGAAGGUCUUGAAACUUUAUGCGUGGGAAGCUCACUUCAAGAAGGUCAUCGAGGGGUUGAGGGAGGUUGAGUACAAGUGGUUGUCAGCAUUCCAGCUUAGUAGGGCGUACAACAGUUUCCUGUUCUGGGCAUCACCUGUCCUGGUUUCAGCAGUGACCUUUCUAACAUGCUAUCUUCUGAAAAUUCCUCUUGAUGCUAGUAAUGUCUUCACCUUCGUGGCAACUCUACGUCUUGUGCAAGACCCAGUUAGGUCAAUACCCGAUGUAAUUGCAGUUGUCAUACAAGCUAAGGUUGCUUUCACCCGGAUAUCAAAGUUCCUUGAUGCACCUGAGCUAAACAGGCAAGUUACGAAGAAAUAUUAUGUUGGCAUUGAUUACCCAAUAGCGAUGAAUUCGUGUAUCUUGAGAGUACAUCAAAACCAACUCUAA
rnacentral:rRNA from 1 species